CGCUCCACUCUCCGCGGCAGACUCCACGUGGCACGCCCCGGUGAUAGCCACGGGUCCACUCCACUACUCUUCGCAACAAACUCUGCCUGAUCCUGGGUAGCCCACUGCCAGACGGUUACAGAUAUCGCUAUCAGGCUACUGCCCCCUCCGCCUAUAAAAGGGGGCCCCAGAUACGUUAUUCUAUAAGCUCUUAUUUUUUACCUCAAAACUCUGCUAAAUUCUCUGUUCGAGCACUCCAUUCUUGUUGAGGCAGAGAACUGACU
rnacentral:lncRNA from 1 species